CUAUCAGCUCUGGAGACUAAAGUCUAUUUAUCCACAAAACAGGGUACAGCAUGGGCAGUAGGACUGCAAGGUCUUCUUCACUGCCCUGCCAAUAUAGUAAUUUUGGCAUGGUGGGGCCAUUAGAAACAUGAUGGGUUAGUGUUUAUGUCCAUAUAAUUCUUGGCCUCU
rnacentral:sRNA from 1 species